GUCUCUUUCCUGUCCUGCCAUGGUAAAGAAGUGCUUGUUUCCCCUUCGCCUUCCACCACAAGUAUUUUUCCUGAGGCCUGCCAGUCAUGCUUCCUGUUAAGCCUGCAGAACUGAUUACUAGAGCAGCCAACCAGGGAAAUAACAGUGAAACAAUAGCUUACAGCUGAAAGAGACCAGUGGGGUGAGUUGAGAUUACAAUCCUGAAGUAUCUGGAUGGCAGAUGACAGAGGUUAUGUGGCCAAAUUGGUCUUUCCCACCUGGCAGCAGCUCUCUUGACACCCACAUCCCUUGUUCGUCUUCAAAAGUUCCUCACUGCCUCAGCGACUAUCUCAGCCUUCAUGAACAAAGUGCUAUGCUGCUGUAAGCAGUUAGAAUAAAUGUGAUUUCAGCUUCAUCAGGCCCUAUCCUUUCACCUCCCUUGUACCUGGUGUAUGUUCCACAGUGCAGCCAUAAACUAUGAAGCCCAGAGGUACAUGACUUCAACUCGACCUCAACAUGCCACACACAGGUGCCUGUGAGCACAGAAGAGGAAAGGACAAAUGUCUGAGCCUCAGGACUUGCAGCCUCUGCCCUUGCUCCUGACCUCCGUGUUUUGCCCAGAUCAGCAGGCCUUAUGGCUACCAGGCACUAGCAACAAAGGCAGGACAGAUGUCAUCUGGGGGGUGACGCAUGGCAGGAGAAUCAGCAGUGGCUGCAAUGUGGUGAGGCUCCACUGGAGAUGAUCUGCCCUAAAUGGACCUUUCUGUGAGCAAAGACCUACAUCACCACAUCAUAUGCUUAGGAAUGAACCGAAUCCUCACACCUGAGGACUGAAUGUAUAAGAAAGCUGAGACAAAAAAGCGUAUCUCCAUAUCUGAGGACUGUGAUAAAAAUCUCUUCUGAAAUUUCAUUUGGCCAUGAUGUUCAGGGUAGUGAACUGAGAGAUUUCUGAUUGAAAUCACCUCUCAUGUCUCUGCUGCAGGUCAGAGGGAAGCAACACAGGGUCCUACUGCACAGUUUUCCAUUUCCCAGGGGAAUCCCAAGACUCCCUCAUCCAGGCUCUAGAACAGGGUUCUAGAGUGUCUUCCAGUGAGCUGUGAGCCCCCCAGAGGCAGGGGCUGCUCUUGUCAUAGUGACUCCAUUAGAGGCCAGAGCCUGUCACCCAGCAAGGGCUCCACUUGCCCAUUAAGUGAAUAGAUGAGGGCCUUUGUUGGUAAAGGCCCCAGAUCCCAAGUCCCAGAGAAGGGUGAGAUUUACCUGAAUGUAGAAGUUUGUGAAGAGAGCAAUCAGGGAAAUCAUGUAUCCAAUCUGGAAAUACAACCAACCAAGAGGGAAUGUGCACGGCCAGAUGACCCCGCAGCUGGUCUGGAUGAUUGUCAGCACAAACUGAAGCUAGGGGAACAGAAGGGAGGCAGCUGAACAGGGACAGUGCGUGGACAAGGCCCCACACCAGGCAGACUUUUUAACCAGCAUCACCUAAAUUUCGGAAUUAACACUUGCUGCAGGUACAGCAGUCACUUCACGAACACAACACAUACACUACACUUAUCCUAAACUCUAGGUGUGUUUGUCUUAUAUACAUUCUUCCUCUGCCCUCCAAGCUAUUUAAACUACCUUCUCCAAAAUUCAAGGAUACACUACAGAGACAUCCAAGACUUUUUAUUUUUUGAGAAGGAAGAGCAAGCGCGUAUGUUGAAAGGGCACUGAUAACAUCACUGCAGGAUGUGCCACCUGGCUAGACAUCCUUCCAACUCCUUAUCCAUGGACGCUUCUGGUUUGGUGAAGGCUGAUGAGUAGAUUUAAACCUUUACUGGCAAACAACACUAAGUGCAUUGAUGAAUUUUGAUGAAUAAACCUUGAAACGCAUGUGAACUGGUUA